GGUGAACGCUGGCGGCGUGCCUAAUACAUGCGAGUCGAGCGAACGGACGAGAAGCUUGCUUCUCUGAUGUUAGCGGCGGACGGGUGAGUAACACGUGGAUAACCUACCUAUAAGACUGGGAUAACUUCGGGAAACCGGAGCUAAUACCGGAUAAUAUUUUGAACCGCAUGGUUCAAAAGUAAAAGACGGUCUUGCUGUCACUUAUAGAUGGAUCCGCGCUGCAUUAGCUAGUUGGUAAGGUAACGGCUUACCAAGGCAACGAUGCAUAGCCGACCUGAGAGGGUGAUCGGCCACACUGGAACUGAGACACGGUCCAGACUCCUACGGGAGGCAGCAGUAGGGAAUCUUCCGCAAUGGGCGAAAGCCUGACGGAGCAACGCCGCGUGAGUGAUGAAGGUCUUCGGAUCGUAAAACUCUGUUAUUAGGGAAGAACAUAUGUGUAAGUAACUGUGCACAUCUUGACGGUACCUAAUCAGAAAGCCACGGCUAACUACGUG
rnacentral:rRNA from 1 species